rnacentral:rRNA from 1 species
AGAAUCAACGCUGGCGGCGCGCCUAACACAUGCAAGUCGAACGAGAAAGUGGAGCAAUCCAUGAGUACAGUGGCGUACGGGUGAGUAACACGUGGAUCAUCUGCCCUGGAGUGGGGAAUAACGCUGGGAAACCGGCGCUAAUACCGCAUAUUCCCGAGAGGGGAAAGCAGCAAUGCGCUCGAGGAGGAGUCCGCGGCCGAUUAGCUAGUUGGCAGGGUAAAAGCCUACCAAGGCUGUGAUCGGUAGCCGGCCUGAGAGGGCACACGGCCACACUGGCACUGAAACACGGGCCAGACUCCUACGGGAGGCAGCAGUGGGGAAUCUUGCACAAUGGGGGAAACCCUGAUGCAGCGACGCCGCGUGAGCGAUGAAGCCCUUCGGGGUGUAAAGCUCUUUCGGCAGGGACGAUUAUGACGGUACCUGCAGAAGCAGCUGCGGCUAACUACGUGCCAGCAGCCGCGGUAAUACGUAGGGAGCAAGCGUUGUUCGGAGUUACUGGGCGUAAAGGGUGUGUAGGCGGCCUGUUAAGUUCCGUGUGAAAUCUCCCGGCUCAACUGGGAGGGUGCGCGGAAAACUGGCGGGCUAGAGUGCGGGAUGGGAGAGUAGAAUUCCUGGUGUAGCGGUGAAAUGCGUAGAUAUCAGGAGGAAUACCGGUGGUGUAGACGGCUCUCUGGACCGUAACUGACGCUGAGACACGAAAGCGUGGGUAGCAAACAGGAUUAGAUACCCUGGUAGCCCACGCCCUAAACGAUGCAUAUUUGGUGUAGGUCAUUCAGUUGAUCUGUGCCGGAGCUAACGCGUUAAAUAUGCCGCCUGGGGAGUACAGUCGCAAGGCUG